UUAAUCAAGAGAUAUCAUAAAAAAAAUCAUAGAAAGGCUAUCUAAAUCAUUGGUCUAGUGGAUUCAAAAGUCCUAGAUCUUUUAGAUUAUUUAUUUCUGCAUUUAAUUGUUUUACUGUUUUGGUAGUUAGCAAUCCAACAUAAUCUAUCCUUCUCGUCGUAAAGCUCACCUGAGCAAGAAUUUAAAUACACUUUAAAAAUCUAAUUUCUCGUGGGAUCUAUCCGUACU
rnacentral:lncRNA from 1 species